rnacentral:rRNA from 1 species
GACAGAGGGUGCAAACGUUGCUCGGAAUUAUUGGGCGUAAAGAGCUCGUAGGCGGCUUGUUGCGUCGGUUGUGAAAGCCCGGGGCUUAACCCCGGGUCUGCAGUCGAUACGGGCAGGCUAGAGUGUGGUAGGGGAGAUCGGAAUUCCUGGUGUAGCGGUGAAAUGCGCAGAUAUCAGGAGGAACACCGGUGGCGAAGGCGGAUCUCUGGGCCAUUACUGACGCUGAGGAGCGAAAGCAUGGGGAGCGAACAGG